CUUGUUUAUUGCUGGUUUGUGCACAUAUAGAAACAGUGAUUACACGGCUCUGCACAGCUACAUCCAUGCAUGUGUGUGCACGUGCCUGCGAGUCCACAAACUCUUUCUGAAUAUGUCUCCAGAGUGUUUAUUAUAUCCGAUACUGUACCUCUUUCUCGCACCACAUAUUUCUGUGCCGAUCGAUUUCUCUGACUCCCAACAAGACAAUAAUCGCACCUCCCUCUCUCUCCCCUUCUCUCCAGCAUUAUUACUGCCCUCCCCAAGGAGCACAACGCAAAGAUGGAGGGAUGGAAACGGAGAAGUAAAGGCACUGAUGAGAUAAAGAAGAGGCAAAAUUUGAUUACGCUGCUCUACAAGUGCAAAUGAAAGAAGGUGCUGAAAGGAGCCGGUGCCGCCUGGCAGCCGGCCCGCUGAUCUACCGCGCACGCCGCCAGCUGUUAGAUACUACACUUUACAGGUUUAUCGAUUCAACCCGACUUAAAUUGGCUCCCAAUUAAACAGAGCGCUUAUUUGA